rnacentral:rRNA from 1 species
GACGAACGCUAGCGGCAGGCCUAAUACAUGCAAGUCGAACGGUAAGGUCUCUUCGGAGAUACACGAGUGGCGAACGGGUGCGUAACGCGUAUACAACUUACCCAAAAGCGGAGAAUAAUCUGAAGAAAUUCAGCUGUAAUACUCCAUAGUUACUAAGUAGGGCAUCUUACUAAGUAUAAAGCUCCGGCGCUUUUGGAUGGGUAUGCGUGACAUUAGUUAGAUGGUGAGGUAAUGGCUCACCAUGACGAUGAUGUCUAGCUGGUCUGAGAGGAUGAUCAGCCACACGGGCACUGAGACACGGGCCCGACUCCUACGGGAGGCAGCAGUAAGGAAUAUUGGUCAAUGGGGGCAACCCUGAACCAGCCAUGCCGCGUGAAGGAAGACGGUUCUCUGAAUUGUAAACUUCUUUUAUCAGGGGAUAAUUAUGAGCUAUACGCUCAUUUGCAGGUACCUGAAGAAUAAGCACCGGCUAACUACG